AGCGAACGCUGGCGGCAGGCCUAACACAUGCAAGUCGAACGAUCCUUCGGGUCUAGUGGCGCACGGGUGCGUAACGCGUGGGAAUCUGCCCUUAGGUUCGGAAUAACAGUUAGAAAUGACUGCUAAUACCGGAUAAUGACUUCGGUCCAAAGAUUUAUCGCCUAAGGAUGGGCCCGCGUAGGAUUAGCUUGUUGGUGAGGUAAAAGCUCACCAAGGCGACGAUCCUUAGCUGGUCUGAGAGGAUGAUCAGCCACACUGGGACUGAGACACGGCCCAGACUCCUACGGGAGGCAGCAGUGGGGAAUAUUGGACAAUGGGCGAAAGCCUGAUCCAGCAAUGCCGCGUGAGUGAUGAAGGCCUUAGGGUUGUAAAGCUCUUUUACCCGGGAUGAUAAUGACAGUACCGGGAGAAUAAGCUCCGGCUAACUCCGUGCCAGCCGCCGCCGUAAAAC
rnacentral:rRNA from 1 species